rnacentral:lncRNA from 1 species
AUGUUCCGCCCCCAAUCUCGCCCCUGGAUAUCUGCCCCCACCCUCAUCCCGUGGCCCCGCCCACAGGCCGUCCUCCGUCCUCCACCUGGGCCGGGGGCCUGUUUCCGCCUCCAGCCCCGCGCCGAGCAACCCCAGGGCCCACCGGCGCCCACGCGGGGAGAACUACAAUUUUUAAGCCUGAAAUGGACGGACGUGAUUGGCAGCCCGAGCCCUGGAGCCCCUCCCCUUGCUGCCCGAGGCAGGAAGCGGAAGUGGCGUCACUGGUUCGCGCCGUCUUGUUGUCCCGGGAUUCGGCGCAUCUGGCAGCGGUUCGUAGUGGUCCGUUUGGGGUGGAGCCAGUUCUUGGAGAGGGGCGCACGGAGGACGUUACAGGACAGGUGCGGCCCGGGACCCCAGGGGCUCCGUAGAGAGGCCAGGCCUCCGCUCGUCCGCCCGGCCGCUGGGCCCCGCGCUGAGCCGGGGCGGGAAGGGCGCCGCCCGGGGCAUUGGCGUCCUCUGUGCUUCCCUGGUCAGAGCCUCCGCGUCACCUUCGAGACUUUUCCCCAGAAGGAGAGCAGCUCCGCUGUGCGAGUCCCUUUGCUCAGGCCCCGCACCCUCCGGUUCUCAGGACCUGCGACCCCGCCGUGUGGCUGUGAGUCCGGGGGAAAGUGGGUCAGGGGCCUCUGCUGCUUUUCCUGGGCGACAGAACGUGUCACCGGAGAAUUUGGCCUUGUCUUUGCGGCUUCCGUUUUUGAAUAUUACAUGAAGAUCUUCUUUCGAAGGACCCUUUCUGCCUCCCUGAGGAAAAGAUAGAAUCAGAAAGGAUGGCAACUGACUGUUUGACAACUUUUUCUCGGGUAAUUAGAAAGUGUAUCGUUCUACUAAUGACGUACUACAUCCACCAGUUAGACACAUUUCCUUCUAGGUAGACCUGUCUCCAGAGUUUCUUAAAGAAAUCAAGCCACUCAAGGACUGCAUCCCUGUUGAAUUCCCUCCCAAAGGAGAGCCUCUUGGAUUGAUUCCUGUGAAUAAUCUCAGUAUUUCAGUAAUUACAUUCUAAUAUCGUCUUUUACGAUGGUGACUGCAUAUUUUUUUAUUUUGCUGCAUGGUCUGACAUGGUAACAAAAAUGAAAGUGUGCAUUUUUUUGAAGAAUUUAUUCAUUUCUCAACUUUCCCAAGUGUCUGCAGUUUGCUUAGAAACAUGCUGCAGGGAGGAAAUAAGAUGAGAAGAGCUUUUAGUCCAGUGAUGAGAUAAGUUCAUGUGUUAGCGGUUCCAUUAAACCCAUAACUGGAGGAGAUCAACCGUGAGUGAGUGUAGAUAGAGAGAAGAGUACAUAAGAGCAUUGCACCCUGGGGGAGAUGAUGAGAGACCUUGAUACCCUCUGUUGCCAUUGGUCUGCCAUCUUCAUUCCCCACUGAACACUGGUAGAGAUGUAACUUUACUGACCCAGCCUGUGUGUGAUGGUUUAGGACUCAGUUACCUUCCGUGAUGUAGCUGUGCAUUUCACCCGAGAGGAGUGGACUUUACUGGACCCAGCCCAGAAAAAUCUAUACAGAGAUGUGAUGCUGGAGACCUACAAGAACCUGACCACAGUAGGUAAGGCUGCCAUCCUUCCUGUAGCCUCUUAUGGAACAGAUAUAUAUGAUGUGUUUACUAUGUUCCAGUAUCGGUGAUGAGACAUCUGCACAUAAUGGAAACUAACAGACACUAGUCUGUACACUAAUGGGUUUUAAUCCAGUGUGGUUUCUUAAAAAAUGUAGUUCUAAGACUAAAACCAUCUCCAUCACUCUCUUAGAAAUGUGCGUUCUCAGA